UGGGGAAUUUUGGACAAUGGGCGAAAGCCUGAUCCAGCAAUGCCGCGUGUGUGAAGAAGGCCUUCGGGUUGUAAAGCACUUUUGUCCGGAAAGAAAUCCUUGGCUCUAAUACAGUCGGGGGAUGACGGUACCGGAAGAAUAAGCACCGGCUAACUACGUGCCAGCAGCCGCGGUAAUACGUAGGGUGCAAGCGUUAAUCGGAAUUACUGGGCGUAAAGCGUGCGCAGGCGGUUUGCUAAGACCGAUGUGAAAUCCCCGGGCUCAACCUGGGAACUGCAUUGGUGACUGGCAGGCUAGAGUAUGGCAGAGGGGGGUAGAAUUCCACGUGUAGCAGUGAAAUGCGUAGAGAUGUGGAGGAAUACCGAUGGCGAAGGCAGCCCCCUGGGCCAAUACUGACGCUCAUGCACGAAAGCGUGGGGAGCAAACAGGAUUAGAUACCCUGGUAGUCCACGCCCUAAAACGAUGUCAACUAGUUGUUGGGGGAUUCAUUUCCUUAGUAACGUAGCUAACGCGUGAAGUUGACCGCCUGGGGAGUACGGUCGCAAGAUUAAAACUCAAAUGAAUUGACGGGG
rnacentral:rRNA from 1 species